UGACUCCUAAGCUUGAGAGA
rnacentral:piRNA from 1 species